CACGUAGGGCGCAAGCGUUGUCCGGAAUUAUUGGGCGUAAAGAGCUCGUAGGCGGUCUGUUGCGUCCGCUGUGAAAACUCGGGGCUUAACCCCGAGCCUGCAGUGGAUACGGGCAGACUAGAGGUAGGUAGGGGAGAAUGGAAUUCCCGGUGUAGCGGUGAAAUGCGCAGAUAUCGGGAGGAACACCGGUGGCGAAGGCGGUUCUCUGGGCCGAUACUGACGCUGAGGAGCGAAAGCGUGGGGAGCAAACGGG
rnacentral:rRNA from 1 species